rnacentral:lncRNA from 1 species
GUUUCUGGUGUUUAGAAGUUGAUGGAAAAUUUUCUGAUGUUUAGGAGACUAAUGAUGCACCUAAGUUAAUUCACUCGACUCUGGGACUAUGAGGCAGUUCAUCCACACGCUCCAAACUCCAGCUUAUUGUAGGAGACCAGUGCCUCGAUCUCAUGAGGUCAUCUCGACGCCUCAGCUGUAACCCUUGGAGAACCUGUGGUCUCUGCUCCUCUGCCUGCUGACAUGAUCAUCCCAGGUGCAAAACAGGCAUCGGAAACAAGAGGUGAAUUCUCCCCAUAUGACAGGAAAUUGGUGCAAAUGACCAGAGCCCCCCACCUCUGAGAUACGGAGUCAGAGUCGGAGCUACAAUGACGGAUGACAUCAGCAUCAAUGUCAGCAUCCCCUCCAGCAUCACCACCGUCUACCAGCAACAGGGAAUGUUGCAGGUUUGUUUCCUGUUCCUUCUCCACGUGCUGUGUGCCAAGCACAGAAAGCCUCAGUGACCAGCUACUGAAUUAACCAGAAUAUGAAUGAGAAGAAUGACAUUGGAGAAACAGCAGUGUGGCAGUUGGGGCACGGGAAGCAGUCCUGACCCCACUCUUAACUAGCCAUGCGCAAGUCCUGGGCCCUGGCUUCCUCAACACUGAGGCAGCAAAAGCAGAUUCAACAGUCACCACAACCCCUGUCGUGGCAGCAUUCUCUUUUCCUCACAUGGACAGAUGCUCACGUCGGUGACGAAGGCACUGAGGUGCCAAAGAGCUUCCCAGAACAUCAAGGGAAGACUGACUGACAGCUGGUAGAAUAAGUGACAAAUAUCCCUUUUCUUGGAAGACAAUUUAUGCGUGCUGAAGUGGGAGAAAUGUAUUACUAUGAACGCUGUCUUACUCAACUCUGUUGCAUAGCUCAGAAUUCAGUACAGGUAGAUUUAAAAUAGUCUUACAUACAGAGCAGUUUAAAAAGUAUUGUGGAUUUCUGAGUGUCCAGGUUGGAUCCUUGACACUUAAGCACAUCCACUUCUGUUAUGGCUCCCUCUGGCUACAUAAGCUUUGGUGAUUUCUUAAUGACCAAGUGAGUAGCUUGUAAGCAAGGCUGAGAAACAGGAAGAAGUCCUCUUUGGCCAUCUGGUAUAUUGAUUCAAGUGAACACCACUCACUGGUCACCUGCGGACCAGAUGUGGCCUGCAGGUGUUUCAUUUCGCCAAAAGAAAUAUUUUUCAAAUUGUAAUGGGUUGUCAACAUUUAAAAAUCAUAUUUUUAUAUGGAAAUAUGGAUUUAGUACUUCUGCUGAAAUACUGGAAGAACUGGCAAUCUAACAAUUUCUGAAUGGCAAUGACUGACCAGAGCUGAGUCACAACGGUUCCUGUCAGAGACCGGGGGUUCUCUCCAGUGGCCUCCGUUAUAUGACACAAAGAGGGGUUCACUCAUUUCCAUUCCUUUCUGGCUGCAGUGGGCACCUGCGUUUGCCACCUUUCUCUUAAACAACAAGGAAUUGCUGAAGCAGAAAUGCACAGCCAGGGAAGCAGCUGAUUUUCUCUCAUCUUUUUCCUCCUCAUUAGCAUCAAUAAUUAAGUUUGGGACUGAUUCUUUUUAUGUCUUCAUAGCUAAAGUAAAAACUUUUGUUAGGAGCUAGUAGAUACUUCCCACCUCUUCUAAUUCAUUUUACUAAGCAUUAAGAUAACAUUCCUGGAUGGGCACGGUGGCUCCCACCUGUAAUCCCAGCACUCUGGGAGGCUGAGGCA